rnacentral:rRNA from 1 species
GAUGAACGCUGGCGGCGUGCUUAACACAUGCAAGUCGAACGGAAAGGCCAGUGCUUGCCCUGGUACUCGAGUGGCGAACGGGUGAGUAACACGUGGGUGAUCUGCCCUGUACUUCGGGAUAAGCUUGGGAAACUGGGUCUAAUACCGGAUAGGACAACUUUUUGGAUAUUGUUGUGGAAAGCUUUUGCGGUAUGGGAUGAGCUCGCGGCCUAUCAGCUUGUUGGUGGGGUAAUGGCCUACCAAGGCGUCGACGGGUAGCCGGCCUGAGAGGGUGUACGGCCACAUUGGGACUGAGAUACGGCCCAGACUCCUACGGGAGGCAGCAGUGGGGAAUAUUGCACAAUGGGCGCAAGCCUGAUGCAGCGACGCCGCGUGGGGGAUGAAGGCCUUCGGGUUGUAAACUCCUUUCGCUAGGGACGAAGCGCAAGUGACGGUACCUGGAGAAGAAGCACCGGCUAACUACGU